UUUGGAGUGUAGGCCUAGGCAGAGGUCCCUGCGGGCUUCCGCAGUGUUUGUGUCCCUGGGUACUUGAGAUUAGGGAGUGGUGAUGACUCUUAAGGAGCAUGCUGCCUUCAAGCAUCUGUUUAACAAAGCACAUCUUGCACCGCCCUUAAUCCAUUUAACUCUGAGUUGACACAGCACACGUUUCAGAGAGCACGGGAUUGGGGGUAAGGUUAUAGA
rnacentral:lncRNA from 1 species